AGCUCCAAUAGCGUAUAUUAAAGUUGUUUCAGUUAAAAAGCUCGUAGUUGGAUUUCUGGCAGGAGCGACCGGUCACACACUCUGUGUGUGAACUUGCGUUGUCUCUGGCCAUCCUUGGGGAGAUCCUGUUUGGCAUUAAGUUGUCGGGCAGGGGAUACCCAUCGUUUACUGUGAAAAAAUUAGAGUGUUUAAAGCAGGCUUAUGCCGUUGAAUAUAUUAGCAUGGAAUAAUAAGAUAGGACUUCGGAACUAUUUUGUUGGUUUGCGUUACGAAGUAAUGAUUAAUAGGGACAGUUGGGGGUAUUCGUAUUUCGUUGUCAGAGGUGAAAUUCUUGGAUUUCCGAAAGACGAACUACUGCGAAAGCAUUUACCAAGGAUGGUU
rnacentral:rRNA from 1 species